AUUGAACGCUGGCGGCAGGCCUAACACAUGCAAGUCGAGCGGGGGUAGCAAUACCCUAGCGGCGAACGGGUGAGGAAUGCUUGGGAAUCUGCCUGGUAGUGGGGGAUAACGUUCCGAAAGGAACGCUAAUACCGCAUACGUCCUACGGGAGAAAGGGGGGGAUCUUCGGACCUCUCGCUAUCAGAUGAGCCCAAGCGGGAUUAGCUAGUUGGUGAGGUAAAGGCUCACCAAGGCGACGAUCCCUAGCUGGUCUGAGAGGAUGAUCAGCCACACUGGAACUGAGACACGGUCCAGACUCCUACGGGAGGCAGCAGUGGGGAAUAUUGGACAAUGGGCGAAAGCCUGAUCCAGCCAUGCCGCGUGUGUGAAGAAGGCCUUCGGGUUGUAAAGCACUUUAAGCGAGGAGGAAGGUUCGUCACCUAAUACGUGACGGAAUUGACGUUACUCGCAGAAUAAGCACCGGCUAACUCUGUGCCAGCCGCCGCCGUAAGAC
rnacentral:rRNA from 1 species